UAUUAUUAUUUAUUUUUACAUUUCUUUUUCUUUUUUCUUUUUCAUUUCUUUUUCUUUUUCUUUCGGGCACGUGGGGAAAACAACUCCCCUUCUUCUUCUUCAACCUUCUUCUUCCUCUCUCUCUCUCUCUCUCUCUCUCUUUCUCUCUCUCCCCUUCCUCCUCUCCUCCUCUCUCUAGGCCCCACCUCAAAUGCACCAUUUCCGGCCGCCGGACACGCGCCGGACAGCGUAGUAGCCCACGGCUGGGCGACCCCGACCGUCGAAUCUCCUGCCGGUUGGACUGCAGACGCGCCGGGAUCGACGCCCAACGCCGACGGCCGGCAUCCUCCUUGUCGGCCGGUUUUUCGACGGCCACCGGUUGUGUGACUAGUCCUUUCCUCCUAUUUUGGAUCUCCUGAUCUCAAAAAUGGCCUCCAUCUAUUGAAAUUUCAAACGGAUUGAGAGAUAUGUUGAAGGGAAGUUCGGCCGAGAUUUCUUUGUUAUUUUCCGGUCAUCGCCGGUCGAAUUGGAGUCCAACGGAAAUCGAGUUUUUAGAUGCACCAUACACAUACCGAUGUUCUAUAGCUGUGGAUGUAAUUAGCGCGCGAGCUGAUAUGAUGAGAGGGCAGGUUGUAUACUCUCCUGUGGUUACCAUUGAAUCGAGGGUAGGCAAGUUUGAUAUUGGCCGUAGCAGCCCCCUCCAUGGCUGGGAUUGAGGUUUACAACAUCGGUGCUGCUGGGACACCAGGGGUGCCUGAAUUCAGUAUUAAGUGGGUGGUAUGGGUGGUGUGGGCGGACGCGAACAUUUAAAGGUAUAUUUUUGUUCUUUACUUAUUAGUUUAUUUUUAUUGUAUAUAUGUUUUCAUAUAGUUUGAUAUCGAAGUGCUGCAAAUUGUGAAAAUUAUUGUAGUAAGGUGGGAGGAAGAAGGUGAUGUUUAUAGGAGUGUGUUUUCUACGCAGAAAAUUUUAAGCUUAGUCCAAUCAUGAGGGAAGAUUCUAUCGGAUUUUCCAUUGGAGGAUUCGGUAGGGUAGGGUUUCCUGGAUCACGCUUGUUUAGGGUUUCGAUAACAGAUCUUGGACGAGUCUUGAUACUUGUAAAUUUUUCUAAUGCUUUUGGACAAAAUAGUUACAACGGUAUUUAAAUAAAUGUUACAAAAUCAUUAAAAAAAUGCAAACAAAAUUUACAAACAAAUAAAAGAAUUAAAAAUGCACUGCCGACGCUACAAACAUGUAGCAGCGUCGGCUUUGGUCUUUUCUUUCGA